CUUCUCGUGGUGUAGUUGGCAACACGCCUGUCUAGUGAGUAGGAGUCGUGAGUUCUCACCGAGAGGA
rnacentral:tRNA from 1 species